rnacentral:rRNA from 1 species
UCAAACUUAACCAAACUCCGAAUACCAGUGAGUACAGCAUGGCAGACAGACUACGGGUGCUAAGAUCCGUGGUCGAGAGGGAAAGAGCCCAGACCACCAUCUAAGGUCCCAAAAUAAUGGCUAAGUGUAAAAGGAUGUGAAAGAACCAUAACAACUAGGAAGUUGGCUUAGAAGCAGCCAUCUUUUAAAGAAAGCGUAACAGCUCACUAGUCUAAAUAAGUUCUUUUGCGCCGACAAUGUAUCGGGGCUAAAGCCAUUUACCGAAGAUGUGGAUGCGUAACGUUAAGUUAUGCGUGGUAGCGGAGCGUUCUGUAGGCCUGUGAAGGCAAACCGUGAGGGUUGCUGGAGGUAUCAGAAGUGAGAAUUCUGACAUAAGUAGCGACAAAGAGUGUGAGAAACACUCUCGCCGAAAGUCCAAGGUUUCCUGCUUAAAGCUAAUCUGAGCAGGGUUAGUCGGCCCCUAAGGCGAGGCUGAAAAGCGUAGUCGAUGGGAAUCAGGUUAAUAUUCCUGAACCUGUGGGAAGUGACGGAGGAUGAAGUUAGUGUACCCUUAUUGGAUUGGGUAUGCUGAUAAUUCUUUCCAGGAAAUAGCCCCACAUAAGACCGUACCCGAAACCGACACAGGUGGACUGGUAGAGUAUACCAAGGCGCUUGAGAGAACUAUUCUGAAGGAACUCGGCAAAAUGCAUCUGUAACUUAGGGAGAAAGAUGACCCAUUUCUGGGCAACCAGGAGUGGGUGGCACAAACCAGGGGGUAGCGACUGUUUACUAAAAACACAGGGCUCUGCAAAGUCGAAAGACGAAGUAUAGGGCCUGACGCCUGCCCAGUGCCUGAAGGUUAAGAGGAGAUGUGCAAGCAUUGAAUUGAAGCCCAGGUGAACGGCGGCCGUAACAAUGACGGUCCUAAGGUAGCGAAAUUCCUUGUCGGGUAAGUUCCGACCCGCACGAAUGGCGUAACGACUUCCCCGCUGUCUCCAGAGUAGACUCAGCGAAAUUGAAUUCCCCGUGAAGAUGCGGGGUUCCCGCGGUUAGACGGAAAGACCCCGUGCACCUUUACUGCAGCUUUACACUGGCAUUAGGAAUUAAAUGUGUAGGAUAGGUGGGAGACUUAGAAGUGAGGGCGCAAGCCUUCAUGGAGUCGUCCUUGAAAUACCACCCUUUUGAUUUUUGGUGUCUAACUAAGGUCCGUGAAUCCGGAUCUAGGACAAUGUAUGGUGGGCAGUUUGACUGGGGCGGUCGCCUCCUAAAUAGUAACGGAGGCGUGCGAAGGUAGGCUCAAUCUGGUCGGAAAUCAGAUGUUAGAGUGCAAUGGCAUAAGCCUGCCUGACUGCGAGACUGACAGGUCAAGCAGAGACGAAAGUCGGUCAUAGUGAUCCGGUAGUCCUGAGUGGAAGGGCUAUCGCUCAACGAAUAAAAGGUACGCCGGGGAUAACAGGCUGAUGAUUCCUAAGAGCUCAUAUCGACGGAAUCGUUUGGCACCUCGAUGUCGACUCAUCACAUCCUGGGGCUGAAGCAGGUCCCAAGGGUUCGGCUGUUCGCCGAUUAAAGUGGUACGUGAGUUGGGUUUAGAACGUCGCGAGACAGUUCGGUUCCUAUCUGCCGUGGGUGUUGGAAAUUUGAGAGGAUCUGUCUUUAGUACGAGAGGACCGAGAUGGACAUACCUCUAGUGCGCCAGUUGUCACGCCAGUGGCAUAGCUGGGUAGCUACGUAUGGAAGGGAUAACCGCUGAAAGCAUCUUAAGCGGGAAACCCACCUCAAAACAAGAUUUCCCCAUUAGAGCCGUAGAAGACCACUACGUUGAUAGGCCAGGUGUGUAAGCAUGGUAACAUGUGUAGCUUACUGGUACUAAUAGCUCGAUUGAUUC